rnacentral:rRNA from 3 species
AAUAACAAUACGAGUCUUAAAGUCUUGUAAUUGGAAUGACGGGAAUCUAAAACCUUUCCGGAGUAUCAAUUGGAGGGCAAGUCUGGUGCCAGCAGCCGCGGUAAUUCCAGCUCCAAUAGCGUAUAUUAAAAUUGUUGCAGUUAAAAAGCUCGUAGUUGAAUUUCUGCUGCAUCCGUGUCAUUCCUAACUGGUUUGUCACUGUUGUGGCUUUUUCUGGUGGUUGUGCUUCGGCUAGAUCUCCAGAUUGUUACUUUGAGAAAAUUAGAGUGCUUCAAGCAGGCUUUUGCCUUGAAUACUUUAGCAUGGAAUAACUAAGUAGGACUUUGGUUCUAUUUUGUUGGUUUAAGAGCCAAAGUAAUUAUUUUGGCCC